rnacentral:lncRNA from 1 species
AUUAAUAGAUUUUCAUGGUCCCAACAUUAUUAAUUUAUAGAGGUUUUACCGAUAUAGGUUAUAUAGUGAUAUACUAGUGGAAAAUUAUCAUUUCAAGGUGAUAGUUCCUUAUAUAUAGUGAUAUACUAGUGGAAGAUGAAGAUUAUCAUUUCAAGGUGAUAGUUCCUUAUAUAUAGUGAUAUACUAGUUAGGAUAUAUAGUGAUAUAUAUUAGAUUUUGGGAUUCCAACUUAAAACCAAUUGGCAAUAAGUGGAGAAUGAGUGGAGAUGCGCAUAUCUUCUAUAUAUAUCACUUAAUAUCCUACUCAACUUUCAAUGUGCAAUAUUAUUAUCCAUAAUAAUAUACGAGUAGAAGAUUAUCAUUUCUAGCUAAUAGUAUAAUAAUGUGUAUACCAUAAUAUCAUUUCUUAAUUCAUUUUUGUAUUAAAAAAAACUCUUGUUCAAUGUAAAAAAGAUUUUUUGUGAACUUUUGUCCCAUUGUCUUCUCUUUGGUUCGUGAAGCAUAGAUUCUGCUCUGGCUUGGUGUAAUAAUAUUCUUUAAAUACGUAAUUUUUUAUAUUUUGUAUUUCAAAAAAUUCAUACUGUUUUCCUCAGCGAUGUAAUACAUUAUUUUUUGAAAUUUUUUUUAUGUUUAUUUGCGUUGUUUAUAUAAACUUCUUUACAAAUGACUUUAUUUGUAUUUAACAUCAUAUUUUGGAUUGAUGUUAAUUUGAAAAAAAUUUAAAAACUUAAAGUUAUUUUUUAUAUAGAAAAUAAUAUAAUCAUGUUUUUAAGGAUAAUUGCUAAAUUAAGUUUUCUAAUAUAUUUGGCAAUAUUAUUGUGAGUGCAAGAAAC